rnacentral:rRNA from 1 species
UACGUAGGUGGCGAGCGUUGUCCGGAAUUACUGGGUGUAAAGCGCGUGUAGGCGGGAGGCCAAGUCUGUGGUGAAAUCGCUCGGCUUAACUGGGCGGGGUCCAUGGAAACUGGUCACCUGGAGGUCGGUAGAGGCAAGUGGAAUUCCCGGUGUAGUGGUGAAAUGCGUAGAGAUCGGGAGGAACACCAGUGGCGAAGGCGGCUUGCUGGGCCGGACCUGACGCUGAGACGCGAAAGCUAGGGGAGCGAACGGG